AGAGGGAAAUAUAGGCGAAACCAACGGCUAAACAACCGGACCUCCUUUUGGCAAAUUAAACCUUUCGCACAACGGGAGUUGUCCUUGAUCGGCUCUUUGACGUACGCACACGUCAACCCGGAGCGACGUUUAUACCGAACGUGAAAAUCCCGGGACCGUUUUAUACUUGUUAUUUUAUCUCUUUGUAUACGAAGCGACUUGUUACUGUAUUACUAGGAAAUACCGUG